UACGUAGGGGGCUAGCGUUGUCCGGAUUUAUUGGGCGUAAAGAGCGUGUAGGCGGCCAGGUAGGUCUGCUGUGAAAACUCGAGGCUCAACCUCGAGACGUCGGCGGAAACCAUCUGGCUAGAGUCCGGAAGAGGAGAGUGGAAUUCCUGGUGUAGCGGUGAAAUGCGCAGAUAUCAGGAAGAACACCCGUGGCGAAGGCGGCUCCCUGGGACGGUACUGGCGCUGAGACGCGAAAGCGUGGGGAGCGAACAGG
rnacentral:rRNA from 1 species